rnacentral:rRNA from 1 species
AUUGAACGCUGGCGGCAGGCCUAACACAUGCAAGUCGAACGGUAACAGGAAGAAGCUUGCUUCUUUGCUGACGAGUGGCGGACGGGUGAGUAAUGUCUGGGAAACUGCCUGAUGGAGGGGGAUAACUACUGGAAACGGUAGCUAAUACCGCAUAACGUCGCAAGACCAAAAAGGGGGACCUUCGGGCCUCUUGCCAUCGGAUGUGCCCAGAUGGGAUUAGCUAGUAGGUGGGGUAACGGCUCACCUAGGCGACGAUCCCUAGCUGGUCUGAGAGGAUGACCAGCCACACUGGAACUGAGACACGGUCCAGACUCCUACGGGAGGCAGCAGUGGGGAAUAUUGCACACUGGGCGAAAGCCUGAUGCAGCCAUGCCGCGUGUAUGAAGAAGGCCUUCGGGUUGUAAAGUACUUUCAGCGGGGAGGAAGGGAGUAAAGUUAAUACCUUUGCUCAUUGACGUUACCCGCAGAAGAAGCACCGGCUAACUCCGUG